GCAAAGGUGCCUGAAAGGAAGAAUGACAAUGAGGUUUGUCCAAGUGGUGCUUUCAGACCCCACCUGUCAGGAUUUGCUUUUGUUGGAGGUUGUUGUGCAUUUGCACUGCAGGGAAUGAAUGUCCCCUUCCCAAUUCAGCCCAGCAGAUCCAAAGGCUCUUACAGGAAUAUUUAUCCUUUACUGCCCUCUGUGAUAACUUAAUCUCCACCCUGCCAUGAGCCAUUCCUUGAGUUCUCCUGGAGAAAACCUCAGAGCAGAGGAGUUUGCAAAGGAGCCCAGAGCUGUGUUUGGAGCAGAGAGAGCUGAGAGCUGCAUCUGCCUGUGCUGCCCCAGCCUGGCAACAUCCACAUGGAGCAGCCUGGGCAGAUGGGAUUGGAUGGAGCAAAAUCCCUUCAUGGAAGAGGUUUUCUCCUGUGCAGAUCAGGCAUGGGGCAGGCAGUGAACUUUGGAAAUCAGCUGAUUUCCCCAGAAAGGAUCACCCCCAUCAGCAGGAAUGACAGGACCUGUGCCCACUGCUCAGGAUUCACCCAGCCAAAAUCAAGGAUGCUGGAAUUGCCUCUGGAUGUGUGCUGAGCUCUCACUGCAGGGGACUGCCAGGCCUUAAUGGUUGCACCAAGGACAGGAGGGGCUGCUUCCCUUCCUGGGGCUCGGCCUCCUCCCGCCCCGCGCUCCCGGCCAGCUGGGACACACGGAGGGAACACCGAGGAACAUUCCUGGCAGGGAGCAGGAGUCCCCGAGGGCUCCGUGCAGCUCUGGGCCUGAGAACAGCCCCGGCCUCAGCCCCCACCGUGACUUUGGGCUGUGAGCACUCACCUGCAGGAAAC